rnacentral:misc_RNA from 1 species
AAGGAGUCUAACGUCUAUGCGAGUGUUUGGGUGUUAAACCCGUACGCGUAAUGAAAGCGAACGUAGGUGAGCGCUCUUUUGAGUGCAUCAUCGACCGAUCCUGAUGUCUUCGGAUGGAUUUGAGUAAGAGCAUGGCUGUUGGGACCCGAAAGAUGGUGAAUUAAACCUGAAUAGGGUGAAGCCAGAGAAAACUCUGGUGGAGGCUCGUAGCGGUUCUGACGUGCAAAUCGAUCGUCGGAUUUGGGUAUAGGGGCGAAAGACUAAUCGAACCAUCUAGUAGCUGGUUCCUGC